rnacentral:lncRNA from 1 species
AUGGCACAGCGAAACCAGUAUCUUUCUGUGGCAAGAUUUGCAUCAUAUGAGAAGGGACAGAUCUGCAUAUGUUUAUCACCACUGAGGUUGCAUCCAGCUGUGCUCUACGUACCAGAAGGGGGAGAGAGAGGCACUGGGAGUCUAGCCCCAGGAAUGGUGUCAACAGCAACGCAAGAGCAAGAAGAUGAGUUUAGAGCUCUCCUAUUGAGAUGGGGUUACGUGAACCUCAUUCCACAUUGGGUAGUGGGGACAGCAAGAGUAAGUAAUUUUCUGAGGAAGAAGAGAGAGCAGGCCAGCUGGCAGCUCCUGAGGACCACAGAGAGCAGGAAAAGAGCCAUCUGGAGCAGAUAGGGAAAAGGGUUGUGAGGUGCUUGGAGAGAGACCGUGGGAAUGGACAGAGAGAAGUCUUCAGAGGUAGGUGGGAAGUGUAUUAGAGAACUUUGGUAAAUGUGAAUAGGGAGCUUGCAUCUGACAUGAUAAGACAUGGUGCUGAUGAAGGGAUUUGUGGGCGGAGAGGGAAAGGAGGAAAAGAAUUUGUUAGCUGGGACUUGCUAGGAAAUGAGAGGAAAAGCUAGAGAAGAGAAAAUCACAAAACUAGUGGAAGGAGGUAGCCAAGAACCAAACUGGGCUUUUACUGAGAGUGCAGUUGCUAGAAUUUUAAAUAGCAAAAAGAAUAAUUGAUUAGAUUUAAUGACAGGGUUCCCAUCAGAAAUACGUACGUAAAUUUUUAUAUGUAUGCAUAUAUUUAGCUGUCUAUGUACAUACCCAUACAUAUAGAAGUGGUACUAACACAAGUUCUGUUUCCAGAUCACACUGUUGUAAUUUAUGGAGAGG